rnacentral:misc_RNA from 1 species
GAUGGAGUUAAACCUGGAUUAUCAAUUGCCUUACACAUUAGGAAGUUGAGGUCACUCAUGUCUAUAAAGUGCUUGUUGUUGUUCUUUGCAUUUGAAAAGGCCAAGUAACAUCUCUUUGCUAGCUCCCACAGCUUGUCACCUCCACUUACAUCAUGUGUAUUCAUGACGCCAGAGUGGUAAAAUCCAAGAUGGUGGGAAUUGAGAACAGGGUCAAGAAGUGAACGACAAUCGAUGAGGGUUACAACACCAUACUUGUGCCUUUGGUCAACAGUAAGGCCUUUGGAGGAGUGUGCUGCCAUCAAACCAGCAGCUGCUAUGGCUCCACACAGUUGAAUCCCUCUCGAUUUGCAGGCCUGAAGAAGCCUGUGGGUUUCAUCUGGGUUCAUUUUUAAUCUCACCAACUGAGAGCAUCUAGCAGAUUCAGCAUCAACAAAGUUCAAAUUCGCCAGCCUUAAAGAAUUCAAAGAAUACCCAAGAACAUCCAUUCCACGAGCCCAAAAGGGCUUGUUAGCUUUCCCACUAGGAAUACAAUCUUCAAUUCCCAACCCAACCACUCCAUUAUCAUUAUAUAAUUCUAUAUUACUAUGCUCUUUCCUUCCACCCGUCGCCUCUAGCAGUUCUCUUAGCACCGCCACCCCCGAUGCACGGUCGCAUGCUGCCGUGUGCAGCCGGAGCACCACUACCCACUGGCUUUCGCUUAGAGUGUACACGCUAGCGAAGAACAGAUCAAGGUCAGUACUCUCGAGUGCUGAUGACGACCAUGAAUUUGUGUUUAUUUCGUGCUCUAGAAUGAGAUGGAAUGGCGUAACAGAGGGGUUGUUGGAAUUAUUGGAAAGAAUAGCGGAGGUUGAAGCAUGAUCAAAUAGUUGGAUUUUGAGGUGAGAGGAGGGCGGAGUAACGAAGGAGAAAGUGGCGGUGGCGGCGUCGAAGUGGAGCUUGGAGCGGAGAAUGGGGUGGGAAGUCUGGAGUUGGUGGAGGGCAGCUUGGAGAAGGUUUAUGUCAGGGAAUUUUGAAACGAGAAGGGCUAGGACGGUGAUGCCGGUGCCGCCGGGCACUGCUUUGCACCAACUGUACUCUGUGCCACCCACCGGCCUAGCCCUCGGCUCAGGGAUUCGUGGUCCUGGGUGGUCGUGGUCAUUGUCAGACAUGGUGAAGAAGAUAAGGGAUGGAUUGGAGGAGAAGAAAAUAAAUGAAGUAAGACUGAGAGCUUUGUUUAAUUUGGCCUUGUCGCUGUGAGCCCGC